rnacentral:misc_RNA from 1 species
AAAAAAGAGCACCCCCUUUAUCUCUAUACUGACAAAAAACCAAGAGAAAUGGACAAUAAGUUUCAUUUUUUUCAUUAUCUCCAUUUCUUCUUGCUUCUAUCUUCAUCUUGCUUUUCACUUGUUGCCUUCUCUUGGAUUCCAUAUAAUGAAAACAAGAACUAUGAAGGCUCCUCUGAUCUUGUUAAUCUUGAAUACCAUAUGGGACCUGUUCUUUCUUCUCCUAUUAAACUUUAUGUGAUAUGGUAUGGCCAUUGGAACCCUUCUCAUCAAGCCACAAUUAGAGACUUUCUUAACUCCUUUUCAUCUUCUUAUGCACCUCAUCCUUCUGUAGCUGAUUGGUGGCGAACCGUUCGUCUUUACACAGAUCAAACUGGCCAAAACAUCUCAACUAUUUCACUUUCUGGUGAAUUCUUUGACUAUAAGUACUCACAAGGGAAGUACCUUAGCAGAUUAUCAAUGCAAUAUGUGAUCAAGAAUGCAGUAAGAUCAUACCGUGAAUCUAUACCGUUAAAUUAUAAGAAUGGAGUUUACUUAGUGUUAACAUCUUAUGAUGUUCAAGUUCAAGAAUUUUGUAGGGCUGUAUGUGGUUUCCAUUACUUUACAUUUCCAUCAAUUCUUGGAGUGACAGUCCCUUAUGCUUGGAUUGGUUAUAGUGGGAAACAAUGUCCUGGUUUCUGUGCUUAUCCUUUUGCUUGGCCUAAGAAUUCAGGGAAGCCACCACCAAACACAAGAAAUGGAGGAAACAACUUAAUGGGGGCGCCAAAUGGUGAUCCGGGAGUCGAUGGGAUGAUCAGUGUGAUAGCUCAUGAGCUAGCUGAGGUCUCUAGUAACCCUCUUGUGAAUGCUUGGUAUGCUGGGGAUAAUCCUAUGUCACCUACUGAGAUUGCUGAUUUGUGUUUGGGAGUUUAUGGUACUGGUGCUGGUGGUGGAUAUGUUGGACAAGUUUAUAAGGAUUUUCGGGGGAAUGGUUUCAAUUUACAUGGUGUGAAAGGGAGAAAGUUUCUUGUUCAAUGGGUCUGGAAUCCACUCAGGAGAAGAUGCUUUGGUCCUAAUGCCAUGGAUUAGGCAAGUAGAAGGAUGUUUGUCUUGUACAGAGUUGUUUUCAACUUUAAUUAUGCCUUUUUAGUAUAUCGCGUUAUGUAAUUUCUUUUGUUUCCCAUAAUGUAUGCUUCAGAAAAUAAUCGCGUUAUUGUUAUUGUCAUUCUGGCCUAUGCAUUAA